UUAGAAGACGUUGGAAAUCACAGGAAUGGGUAGGGCCAUGUGUUUUAGAUUAAAUGACCUGUGAUAGCCUGCAGAGGUUCCAGAUCAAAUUAGGCUGGUUUGUUUAUCCUGUACUGCAAAUUGAAUUUGGGAAAUUAACAAGGAUAAUGGAAUUGUGGAGUCAAACGUGACCUUAUGAGUCAUGUAGGCUAAGCUUCGCCUGACGCAGGAAUCCCUUGCCAGCAUCGCUUCCAGGACAGCUGUCAGUCUGGCCUGUACACAGACAGUUUCAAUCGCUGAUGUUUCUAAGGGAAGUUCUGAGAAGACAAAGGUUUAUGAAGAAUCUAGUUUAUGUUUCUCUCUACGUGCAAUUAGCCCUCUGAAUUUAUCCAAAGAUAUCCUGAAGCCUGAAGCAUAAGAUGGAAACCAGUGGCAGUUUGUUUUACUACUCAACAAAGACUAGUACUCAACAAAGACUAGUGCUUUCCCAUUCUAAGUUCAUCAUUGAGUGAGAUUGUUCUUCAGAUUAGGGUAGAAAACGGAAGGCUCAUGAUUAUCUAGAUAAGAUACACACAAGAAUUUGGGCCCACAUAAAUAAAUUAUUAGAACUAAAGAGUUUGAACGUUUAAAUUUAGAUUUCUGCAUGAAUAAAAAAGAAAAAGAAACCCA
rnacentral:sRNA from 1 species